rnacentral:tRNA from 1 species
UGGUGUAGCUCAGUUGGUAGAGCAGCGCAUUCGUAAUGCGCAGGUCGUCGGUUCGAGUCCGACUACC